rnacentral:misc_RNA from 1 species
UCCGGGUUGGACCCGGCGGUCCCGCCAGACAUGGUAACUGGCAGCGAGGGUUGCGCUCGUUGCGGGACUUAACCCAACACCUCACGGCAUGAGCUGACGACAGCCAUGCAGCAUCUGUGCACCCGUUUGAAUCGAAACCCAAAAGACUGUAUUUCUACAGCUGUCGAGUACAUGUCAAGCCUAGGUAAGGUUUCUCGCGUAGUGUCGAAUUAAACCACAUGUUCCACCGCUUGUGCGGACCCCCGUCAAUUCUUUUAAGUUUUAGCCUUGCGACCGUACUCCCCAGGCGAAUCACUUAACGCGUUAGCUACGACACUAAUCCAGCUAAGCCGGACUAACAUCUAGUGAUUAUCGUUUACGGCGUGGACUAC